rfam:Gossypium arboreum cultivar AKA8401 contig_31550_3, whole genome shotgun sequence.
AUUCCGUGAUGUGGGCAUUUUCUUAGCAACGAUUUAAAUUAUUCUCAUGCUUCAUAUAAGUUUUCAUCUUCGAAUUGCUUGAAGUUGGCUAUGUCAUGCCUCAAUU